GGUCGACUGGUGUAGUGGUUUAUCACGUCUGUCUUACAACUGCAUCCUAUGGUGCAUUGUGAGGACACAGAAGGUCGCAGGUUCGAUCCCUGCGUCGAUCA